rnacentral:rRNA from 1 species
AGAGUUUGAUCAUGGCUCAGAUUGAACGCUGGCGGAAUGCUUUACACAUGCAAGUCGAACGGCAGCACGGACUUCGGUCUGGUGGCGAGUGGCGAACGGGUGAGUAAUAUAUCGGAACAUAUCCAAUAAUGGGGGAUAACUAAUCGAAAGGUUGGCUAAUACCGCAUACGCCCUACGGGGGAAAGCUGGGGACCUUCGGGCCUGGCGUUAAUGGAGCGGCCGAUAUCUGAUUAGCUAGUUGGUGAGGUAAAGGCUCACCAAGGCGACGAUCAGUAGCUGGUCUGAGAGGACGACCAGCCACACUGGAACUGAGACACGGUCCAGACUCCUACGGGAGGCAGCAGUGGGGAAUUUUGGACAAUGGGCGAAAGCCUGAUCCAGCCAUUCCGCGUGAGUGAAGAAGGCCUUCGGGUUGUAAAGCUCUUUCGCAAGGGAAGAAAGAUUACUCUCUAACAUAGAGUGAUUAUGACGGUACCUUGAUAAGAAGCACCGGCUAACUACGUGCCAGCAGCCGCGGUAAUACGUAGGGUGCGAGCGUUAAUCGGAAUUACUGGGCGUAAAGCGUGCGCAGGCGGUUUUGUAAGUCAGAUGUGAAAUCCCCGAGCUCAACUUGGGAACUGCGUUUGAAACUACAAGACUAGAAUAUGUCAGAGGGGGGUAGAAUUCCACGUGUAGCAGUGAAAUGCGUAGAGAUGUGGAGGAAUACCAAUGGCGAAGGCAGCCCCCUGGGAUAAUAUUGACGCUCAUGCACGAAAGCGUGGGGAGCAAACAGGAUUAGAUACCCCGGUAGUCC